GACGUCAAGUCCUCAUGGCCCUUAUGGGUAGGGCUUCACACGUCAUACAAUGGUACAUACAGAGGGCCGCCAACCCGCGAGGGGGAGCUAAUCCCAGAAAGUGUAUCGUAGUCCGGAUUGUAGUCUGCAACUCGACUACAUGAAGUUGGAAUCGCUAGUAAUCGUGGAUCAGCAUGCCACGGUGAAUACGUUCCCGGGCCUUGAA
rnacentral:rRNA from 1 species